rnacentral:ncRNA from 2 species
GGGUCCGGAGCAGCCGCUCCGGAGGUUGGGAUGGUCGGGCCGCCAUCC